UGUAUUCAAUAGGGAUUCUGGUUGGCUGACCGUCUGCCCUACAUCUGUUCCCGUAUGGAGAGGAAGCUAAGAGUGCCCUUACCACAUCGACAGGAAGAAAAAGAACGAAUGGCAGAAGAGUGCCCGAGUCCCCGAGUCUGUAUCCAUCUUAUUUCGAUCCCAUUGAUCCGACGAUAUAGACGGCCAUCCAGGCCAAAGAACUCGUGAAGGAGAGAUCGCCGGAGCAUCGGUCCGCCUGCCAAUUGAUGAAAAUUUGUCGUCACUAGAAUAUUGUCGAGGAAAGGACAGACGCGCCACUUGGUUGGAGUCACCGAUCGUCUCGCUCCUUCUUCGCCCCUCGAAGUUUUACAUUCCACUUCUCACCCCAUCGAAAAUUCCCAGUAGAGAAGGGUCUGCCACUUUUUCCAUCUCGAGGACGCUUCACCUUGAUCCAGGUUAUCGAUAUAAUCCAUGAUGAGAGACGCGCAAUUUUGGAGACGCCGACGAUAAGGUUAACAUCGUCUCAGCCAGGUCAAUGCACCAUGAAAAGCGUAGGAUCCUUCGGAUUGUAUCUGAAAAUGAGGUGAAGGGCCAGUGAACAAACAGGCCGAUCGACUUUCGUCUACUCCGAUCGAGAAACGAGUAAUCCCUCGGCGGUGUUUUCGACCUUGUUGAAAAAGUUGGUACACGGCCAUCAUUUAUCCAAUUGAACGGAUUGUUUCAGAAUUCUAAUGUG